rnacentral:rRNA from 1 species
CAGUCGCCGCGGUAAUACGUAGGUGGCAAGCGUUGUCCGGAAUUAUUGGGCGUAAAGGGCUCGCAGGCGGUUUCUUAAGUCUGAUGUGAAAGCCCCCGGCUCAACCGGGGAGGGUCAUUGGAAACUGGGAAACUUGAGUGCAGAAGAGGAGAGUGGAAUUCCACGUGUAGCGGUGAAAUGCGUAGAGAUGUGGAGGAACACCAGUGGCGAAGGCGACUCUCUGGUCAGUAACUGACGCUGAGGAGCGAAAGCGUGGGGAGCGAACAGGAUUAGAGACCCCCGUAGUCCCUGUCUCUUAUAC